CGAAAGGCACAUUUGACUUCAAAUUUAAACUUAAUUUGAAUCAACCAUUCUAAACAAUGGCUACCCAAGUUCUCAUGGAUGCACCUAGGCUCCAAAUCUCAUCUCACGUAUUCACGGUGACAUUGCUUCUCUCUCGUUAUCACCGAACUUCUCAGAGACAGGUCGCCACGGGGUCUGCUGCCAUGCGCCUCUGCCGUCUUCUACAGGCGACAUCGAGCCCUCGCUUAGCGGGGUGAGCGACAGCCAGCGGGAGCAGAGCGGCAACUAAACCGCAAAUUUUGUAUCUCGUGGGCCAAAUUUUCCAUAUUCAUGUCUACAUCCGAUUUCCGAUGCCUCGUAAGUCCUUGAAGACUAGACCAGCAGCUAGCACAAACAACACCAAGAUUGUUACCAGUUGCAGUGAUGAACGUCAAGAGCAAAGUUAAUAGUUAGAUACAUAGAUAGAUUAUAGAUAUAUAAAAGUCUGCCUGCGUGCUUGCUAUCACUGUGCCAGCCCUGCCUCAGUUGCUAGCUCUCACCUUUCG
rnacentral:lncRNA from 1 species